rnacentral:rRNA from 1 species
UGCCAGCCGCCGCGGUAAUACAUAGGGUGCAAACGUUGCUCGGAAUUACUGGGCGUAAAGCGCGUGUAGGCGGAUUCGAAAGUCAGAUGUGAAAUCCCCGGGCUCAACCUGGGAACUGCAUUUGAUACUGCUAGACUUGAGUUAUUGUGAAGUAGUUAGAAUGUGUAGUGUAGCGGUGAAAUGCAUAGAUAUUACACAGAAUACCGAUUGCGAAAGCAGGUUACUAACAAUAUACUGACGCUGAGGGACGAAAGCGUGGGUAGCGAACAGGAUUAGAUA